ACGAACGCUGGCGGCGUGCCUAAUACAUGCAAGUCGAGCGGACUGAAUGGGAGCUUGCUCUUGUUCGGUCAGCGGCGGACGGGUGAGUAACACGUGGGCAACCUGCCCGCAAGACCGGGAUAACUCCGGGAAACCGGAGCUAAUACCGGAUAACACCGAAGACCGCAUGGUCUUUGGUUGAAAGGCGGCGCAAGCUGCCACUUGCGGAUGGGCCCGCGGCGCAUUAGCUGGUUGGUGAGGUAACGGCUCACCAAGGCGACGAUGCGUAGCCGGCCUGAGAGGGUGACCGGCCACACUGGGACUGAGACACGGCCCAGACUCCUACGGGAGGCAGCAGUAGGGAAUCUUCCGCAAUGGGCGAAAGCCUGACGGAGCGACGCCGCGUGAGCGAAGAAGGCCUUCGGGUCGUAAAGCUCUGUUGUGAGGGACGAAGGAGCGCCGUUUGAAGAAGGCGGCGCGGUGACGGUACCUCACGAGGAAGCCCCGGCUAACUACGUG
rnacentral:rRNA from 1 species